UCUGAGGUAAGUAAACACGGUUGAAAGAAUUUUUUUGGAUGUUAUCAAUGGGUUUUUUAUUACAUAGACUGAUUAAAUGGUGUUUCAUACCGAUCGUGUUAUGUACAAGCGACAGAGUACCCGAGUUACUGAAAAUUUCGAUGAUAAAAGUGAUAAAUCUGCGUGAACUGUUUGGGGUUUUUUUCUUUUUGAAAUAUAAUCUUUGCAGUUAAUGUACUCUGUAUACUAAGAAUUCAUAUUGAUUUUGGAUAGAAUUUCACAAAAAGAAAUGCGCCAGGUCCUUAGGAAUCAACCCCCCUACCCCACCCCCCACACGGCACAUUUUUUGGAUGAUUGGAACGUAUACCCCUUUACAUCUGUCUCCCUACUUUGAAGUUUUUUCCAACGCCAUGACAUAAAUAAUAAAUAGAAAAAUAAAUAAAAAUGCAAAAAUAAAAAAGAAAGAUGUAUAUGUAUUGGGAUUGGCAUGUUCCACUUUGUCCGGGUUGAAAUCCCUGAGGAUGCAAAUGUACAUUACGCCGCACUGCUUGCAGUACGUACAUGGUACAGGCGUACCGCAUAGGUAUGUAACUACUAAGACUAUAAACCAAACAGAAUAUGAUAUGUAAAACUAUUACUCUGAAUGCGUUUUACUUGUUUACAAUGUAGCCUGUCGGGCUGUGGUGUCACACGCGUGGUUUACACGUGCACUUUAGGUGGCAAUGGAGGAAAUUCGAACGAUGUAUGGAUUAUUGUCUCCUGGUAACUUUGGCAGUUACCUUUUGCUUUCAAUCUACUUUUUAAGAAUAAUUCAACCCUCGCUAAUCAUUUCCAAGCUGCAUUUCGAUCUUGGAAGAAUGAUCUUCAGCUACAAUACAAAAUUAAAGGAUGAUGUUGUGUACUGAGUUUUUCUUGAUUGUUUACAUCUGUGAUUGUUUAUGUGAUGUAUAAACUGAUCAAGCUGUACAGUGUCAUGACAUAUAGUGGCAUAGCUUCCAUUUAUAUGCUUGCGCAUCAUUUUGUCAGAAGAAGAAAUUUCUAAAAUUAAGAUUUUUAACAUGUAUAUGAUUAUAUGUGUUUGUUUGAUUUUAGUAUAAUACCUGUAGAGAAUAUUUCAGUAAUAUGAAGUGCGACACAUUUAGACGCAUGCAUGUGGUGUUUGAAGGUCUCAUCUGAAAGACCAGCAACUUUCUCUUUUGAAUGCUAAAUAUGACGAUGGAGCAUUCACCUAACUACGUACAUUUACACCCUAAAUAAAGUGCAUUAGCAUGGCUCGAAACCAUGAUUUCUUCAUCAUGAAGCAAAUGCUCUGUUACCACUGAGGGUAUCGGGUUCGUUCGCCCUCUCUACAUGUUCGCGUCCGUCCGUUCGCCCAGAGUCCGUUCGCCAUAAUUCUCAUUCGCCCUUUUCCUCGUUCGCCCUAUAUCCCGUUCACCAUAUAUAUAUAGUAUAUAGUAUAUAUUAAGCUUUUUUUUAUUUUUUAAGACAUUUAUUACGUAUCGAUUUUUUUUUUUCGCAAUUAACAAUUUUAAGUUUCUUAAAUAAAUAGACUGGUAUUUUAAUUCUGAUUGUAGUGUUUAUAAAAGACAUAAUUAGUUUAAAUGUAUGUUAUUUUUAAUACUGUAAUUUGGGGAAUCAGCUCCUUUGUUUUCUUAACGAUUCUCGAUGUUUUGAAAGCAAUAUUGAAGACAAUGAGACGUUAAUAGGCCCAUUAUGGAUAUGAGCACCGGUUUUAUCUUUGAAGAAUUUUUUGAUUUUCAACUACAAACCAGUCCUUUGAUCUCAAGAAUGAUUUAUAAGGAGAUGGAACUUUAAUAUAAAACCUUCAAAUGUCGUAAAUUUCUGUUUGUCAGGUAUUUGGUAUGACAGGUCAUUAGUAAGACCCGUUGCAUACGUGAAAAAUAUUUUUUUUGGUUCAUCUAUAGAAAAAUAUGUAUAGAAAAAUGAAGAAUUCCUAUGUUUCAGACAUUCAACUUAAUAAGAGGGCGAACGGACCAUGGGCGAACAAGUUUUAGGGCGAUCGGACUCUGGGCGAACGGGAAUAAGGGCGAACGGCGUCAUGGGCGAACGAACAUACAUUCACCACUGAGCUACCAAUUUUUUAACAUAAAUUCAUAGCUAAAAAUUUUAAAAAUUUAUAACUAAUUUUUUGGUUAAUUCCAUAAAUAUUAUUCCUCUCUCUAGACACAAUUCAGGGUAACCCCCUGCCUUUGGGGAUAUAAGCACAUCAUUUCUUUCAGAAUGGGACAAUGUCAGGAGAGCUUUUGUUAUUUGUUAUACUCUUGGUGUUGAUGGCAUCUAUGAACAACAGGAUAAUGUUUUUAGAUUAUUAUUUCUGAUAUCAUAUUUGUAAAUUGUUUAUGAGGGGUUGUUAAAGUUUGUGGACAAAAGGACACACUUAUUAAAAAUUCAAAGUUAUGAUAAGUAAAAAAUAUAGGAGAUGUGUAACAAGAUUGUAGAUUUGAACAUUUUAAUUUUAAUUAAUUUUUAUAAGUAUUGAUUUCAGAUACAUGUAUGACAUUGCAUGCUUGAUCGGGGAGGGGGGCUACAGUUAGAUAAUAUUCUGGUCAGCACAUUCGAUAAACUACAGUUGUACAUGGAACUCAUUAAAUCACUUCUUUUUCUUUCAGUGGUCUUCAACUUUUAAUCUCCAAGAAGGAAAUGUAAUUAAAAGAUGAAUAAAGUAUCCCUAAGAAUACCAGAAGAAAGGCUGUGUUGAGAAAAACAGCCCUUCCUCAGUACCUCAGAACUAGAUGAUAGCCCGUGUUACUUUAUGCUGAAUAUGACACAGUAUAGAAGAUCUGAUCAUGAAGAAGUUACACCAUUGAUACACUUGCCAACUGCCAAAACUACUUUCUGAUAGUAUGACGAGAUUAGAAGAUAUCAUGGUGUAGUCAUGACACAAACUGCAAAUCAAAGAUUGUCUUCCCCAGAGGAUGAACAGAGUGCUUCACAUGGAUAACAUUUCCUUUUCGAGUUUUGAAAUUAUCAAACAUAAUUUUGCAUCAAAGAGAAAAAGUGGCUUUGACAUAACCUAGAAAAUACAAUAUUCAUUAAAAAGAGCAUGGCACCAGGAUAGCUAGAUGCCCAUAUUCCCAGCAAAAUGAGCCAGUCCUAAAGAGAGUCCACUAGAGAUGAAAUAAAACGCAUUAAAAUGUAUUGAGAAAAGAUUUGUCAGAAUGUUAUGCAUCAUGAUCAACAGAAAAGAACUUCACAGGUAGACCAAAGCUGACAUGGGAUGAGAUCCUAAAACGAGACCUAGAGUUUAGAGGAUUGGAUAGGAUCAAUCCACUGGGUCGCCAAGUGUGGAAGUACAAACUUCAACCUCGACAGGACAGCCAGGCCUCACCCUUGCAAAAAUAUUAAUUUGGCCUGGAUAGUCAAAAUGAGUGAUGAUGAUGAUAUCAAGGUCUGACACUGUAAGCUCAGUAAGGGUAGAUGCUGGCAAUGGAGCUGUUAAGCAAUACAACAAACAGGUUUAACAUUGAACAUGUUUAUAUACUUUUUUAGCUCACCUGAGCCAAAGGCUCAAAUGAGCUUUUCUGAUCACCUUUGCCUGUCGUCUGUCUCUCUGUAAACUUUUCACAUUUUCAUUUUCUUCUCCAGAGUGAACCACUGGGCCAGUUUCAAUCAAACUUGGUAUGCAUCAUCAAUAGAUAAAGGGUAUGCAAAAAUAGGGUGGGGUCAUUUAAAAAACCUUUUCAAGAACCACUGGACCAGGAAAGUUGAAUUCACAUAAAAGGUUCCUGUUUUGUGCAAAUCAUGGUAUCCGGGGGUAGGGUGAGAUCACAAUUGAGGAUCAAAGUUUUACAUUCAUAUAUAGUACAGAUUCAAGUUUGUUAAAGGUCAUGGCUCACAGGGGUAGAGUGGGGUCACAAUAGGGGAUCUAAGUUUUAUAUGUGAAAUAUAUACAAGGAAAAUCUUUUAAAAUCUUCUCCUAAAAAACUAGAUGCAGAACUAAACCCAAAAUCGUAGCUCUUUGAGAAGAUAUUGGGGCAAGUCAGAGCGCUAGAGCUUCAGAUGAGCCCCGUAUUAAAAAUCUUCAAUUUACGGCACAGAAAAAAAGUGCAUGGUUAAGUCCCUCUAUCACUGCAUUCCUGCAUCGCUGUCUCAUGAAUUUAAUAUUAAAUAAUUCCUAACAUAUUUUCCCACUAUACUUGUUUCCAAGCAUACUUUCAAAUAUUCCUUAAACCCACAUAUAACCUAAAAACUCACAGCUUCAAGUGGUUUUCUUUGUUGAUGUAGCCAUGUUAGGUAUACGUAGCCAGUCAAUUUGAACCCCAGUUCAUUUCCAUACUCGUACUCAUUUUGAAACAUAAUGUCUGUGUGAACUAAUAUCCCCACAAAUAUUUUUAGUGAAAUAUUUUGGAUGAAAUCAUCCCAGUUGGGUUAAAUACUUAUUAUUCAAAAACUGUAGGUUUGAAUAUUGAACUAAUCUCACAGCUUUCUUAAGUUUGGUCCCCAUCCACUCCAGUCUGUUUUUAUGCUUAACUAUUGAAAUGGAGUGUAAGGGAUCAGACUAGGCUUUAAUAGCAUUAUCAAUUUUCAAAAGCUUUAGAAAAAUUAUACAAUUUUAGGUCACAAAUCUGACCUAUUCAGUGUGUCCUGAACUACAUUGUGUUUAAGGUAAAACUUAUACGGUACCAAUUUUGAUGCACCAGAUGCGCAUUUCGACAAAUAAUGUCUCUUCAGUGGUUGGCGUGGGUUCGAAUCCUGCUUGCACCGGUAAGUGAGAAAGUUUCCCAGUUUACUCUCAGAAGGUCAGUGGUCUCUUCCCAGGUACAUUGUAUCUGGGUUCUCUCUUCCACCAAUAAAAACUGGGCACCACCAGAUAACUGAAAAAUUGUUGAGUGUGGCGGAAAACAGCUAAAACAAUCAAUCAUAUUAUGUUCUUUGACCUUGUGACCCUGAACUCUGAGUUUGACCUACUUUUAAGAAAGUAUAACUUAUUAAGUAUAUCCAGGACUAUUUUAGAUAGGGCUUUCAUGUAUUGUAUAUAGAUUACUUAUGGCUAAGUCUUUCAUAUCAUACCAAGACCUAUGACUUCAUACCUUGGUCUUAUCCAGAACAGCAAUAUCAUGCUUGUCAUAUCUUUGUGUUAUAUGAUUUCAUUUUAGUAAUGUUGUGUUCUUUAGAGGUAGGUUUGGGUCACAUUAUUCAUGAGAAUAAGAUUGAUAAAAUAGCAUUUAAAAAUCAAAACAGCAGGGCCAAGGUGACUCAGGUGAGCGAUGUGGCCCCUGGGCCUCUUGUUGAUUUUGAUAUUUGUACAGAUAUCAUUUGUGUGAGAAAUGGAACUCUUUUUUUUUCUUUUACAAAUACAUGUAUUAUCAUAUGGAUCCAUCUGUGUUGAUUAUUUAAUCAAAGGACUACAUUCAAUGUAUUAAAUGCAAAUUUAUUGAAAUGUCUGUGGUUGAAUUACUCAUGUAUGUAUACAUUUUUUUGGCACAUGCAAUUACAUGUAUAAUGUAUAUAUAUAUAUACUAAUUGUACAUAUAACAUCUCCUGUAAUAUAAUAAAAUAUAUGACUGAGAAUAAAA